UACGUAGGGGGCAAGCGUUGUCCGGAUUUAUUGGGCGUAAAGAGCGUGUAGGCGGCCUGACAGGUCUGCUGUGAAAACUCGAGGCUCAACCUCGAGAUGUCGGCGGAAACCCCCUGGCUAGAGUCCGGAAGAGGAGAGUGGAAUUCCCGGUGUAGCGGUGAAAUGCGCAGAUAUCGGGAAGAACACCUAUGGCGAAGGCAGCUCUCUGGGACGGUACUGACGCUGAGACGCGAAAGCGUGGGGAGCGAACAGG
rnacentral:rRNA from 1 species